UUUAGCCCCUGAACUAGCUCAAUACUUUGAUACAUUUCUAUAAUUGUUUUGGUAUAUUUUCAAUAAUUAAUAAAACACAAUUCUAAAUUCUUUAAAGGUAUUCCUUCAAGAAAAAUGUAGGGUACAAUUUGAGCCAUUUUCAUCAACGUAUUCUUCUAAGAAACUGUGUGUGUGUGAGGGCAUAGAACAUGUGAGUGAUAUUGGAGGGAAGCACAGAGGUAGGGAAGAGGGGAGAGAGGGAGUGGGGGAGCUCAACCAAAACCAAGGAUGUAUGAAAAAGCAUAAGGGAGCCAGCAAUUGGUAAGUAAUUUAAGACUAAAAGAGUUUCAACAGAGGUGUCUUCUGGACAUCCCCAAAAGAUAUAGGCAAUUAAAUAAAAACUCAAGUGUCAGAGAUAGUCUCCUUCCCUGUGCACUGUUGGUCAGGGAGGCCUCUAAGGUUCCCCAAACAUAACUGCCACUGUGGCUGGCAGCCCACCAGAACUAGGUGAUAAGACCUUACUGCUGGUAAGACAUGUUUUGGUUGCAGGCCAUAAAGAAAUCAGGCUGAAAAUAUGCUGGAAGCUUCCUUCCUGCUGGCCAGCCCUCAAGAGUGCUGAAGAGUCUGCAGGAUGUAGGGGGAGACUUGUCAUCAACAGUCACACUUAGUUGUGAACUCUUGACACGGAAGGCAAGAUAUCCCCACUGGAGAAACAGUGGGAACAUCACAGAAGGGAAGGUAGAAAGAACACAGGCACUAGAGGAUGGAGUGAAGUGUUGAAACAUUCUGCAAUUUACAGCAACGGUCAUUACGUGUACAAGACUGGGCCAUCAAUAGCCUAUCAUAGAAUGGGAAGGGACUCCUGAGGCCUCACCCCUCCCUGAGGAUCUGAAUUUGAACUUGGUCCUUCGUUGUAGUUAAAUCAUGAAAAAUGAAGCUACUAAAAGAAACUCAAGUCAGCAAAGUGAGCCUCCUCCAUGCAGGAGACAAUAUGCUCAGCACCAGGGAGCAAGAGGAUCAAUCUGAGCUUUGGGAUCAGGCAGCACCUCAGAGCAGCCCACACUGCCUGUCCCUUAACAGCUGUCUGACACACAUGCUAAGGUAGUUUAUGAAGGUCAGAAGAAAACUUGAGGGAGUUGGUUCUCUCUUUCCACCAUGUAGGUACUACAUGGGACUGUACUAGGGUCAUUAGGCUUCAUGGCAGGUGACCUGAAAAGUUUCUAAAAGACUUAAUAACAUUAUGUAGUUCAGGCUGGCUGGAACUUGUUAUACAGCCUAUCCUGGCCUAGACGUCCUCCUUCAGAAUAUAGGGGUGUCCCAUCAGACCAAGUUAAGUCUUCACAUUCUAGAACUAAGUUAACAUAUGAAAUAAGGGCAGGUUGUACAUCGCUCUCAUGGCUAUUUAGAGUCUGUAGAAGAAUGCAGUGAGGAGGGGAGCUGAAGGAGCAGAGUCACAGUGGGGGAGGCAGGAGUAGUCAAAUGUGUUAGAGACAGGGACAGAAGACUCUGAGGCAUUAACACAUCAUUUAGAAUUUAUCACCCAACCUGCUUAUUAGAAAUGCAGGCUCCAUCUAUUAAAAAGCUCUUUUCAUUCAGAGAUGGACCUCAUAAGUGAUUUUGCAGAUGCUUCUUUGUUCAUAUUUCUUUUAUUAAGAAAUAUUUUCUAGAAAAGAUGCAGUGUAAGGAUUUAACAUUUAUCCCCACAAUUAUAAUUAGCAAAGGAAUAAGAAAAUCCACAUAUGAAAUAAAAUACAAACAUGAAGUACUAUUAAUAAGUACACCAAGAGUGACAAGGAGGUGCCAAA